CGCCUGGGGAGUACGGGUGAGGUAACGGCUCACCAAGGCAUCGACGGGUAGCUGGUCUGAGAGGAUGAUCAGCCACACUGGGACUGAGACACGGCCCAGACUCCUACGGGAGGCAGCAGUAGGGAAUAUUGCACAAUGGGCGAAAGCCUGAUGCAGCAACGCCGCGUGCGGGAAGAAGGCCCUAGGGUUGUAAACCGCUUUCAGCAGGGAAGAAAAUGACGGUACCUGCAGAAGAAGGUGCGGCCAACUACGUGCCAGCAGCCGCGGUGACACGUAGGCACCAAGCGUUGUCCGGAUUUAUUGGGCGUAAAGAGCUCGUAGGCGGUUCAGUUAGUCGGGUGUGAAAAUCCAAGGCUCAACCUUGGGACGCCACCCGAUACUGCUGUGACUUGAGUGCAGUAGGGGAGCAGGGAAUUCCUGGUGUAGCGGUGAAAUGCGCAGACAUCAGGAGGAACACCAGUGGCGAAGGCGCUGCUCUGGGCUGUAACUGACGCUGAGGAGCGAAAGCAUGGGUAGCAAACAGGAUUAGAUACCCUGGUAGUCCAUGCCGUAAACGUUGGGCACUAGGUGUGGGUCUCAACCAACGAGAUCCGCGCCGUCGCUAACGCAUUAAGUGCCCCGCCUGGGGAGUACGG
rnacentral:rRNA from 1 species